rnacentral:rRNA from 1 species
GACGAACGCUGGCGGCGUGCUUAACACAUGCAAGUCGAACGGAAAGGCCCUGCUUUGGUGGGGUGCUCGAGUGGCGAACGGGUGAGUAACACGUGAGUAACCUGCCCUUGACUUUGGGAUAACUUCAGGAAACUGGGGCUAAUACCGGAUAGGAGCUCCUGCUGCAUGGUGGGGGUUGGAAAGUUUCGGCGGUUGGGGAUGGACUCGCGGCUUAUCAGCUUGUUGGUGGGGUAGUGGCUUACCAAGGCUUUGACGGGUAGCCGGCCUGAGAGGGUGACCGGCCACAUUGGGACUGAGAUACGGCCCAGACUCCUACGGGAGGCAGCAGUGGGGAAUAUUGCACUAUGGGCGGAAGCCUGAUGCAGCAACGCCGCGUGCGGGAUGACGGCCUUCGGGUUGUAAUCCGCUUUCGCCUGUGACGAAGCGUGAGUGACGGUAAUGGGUAAAGAAGCACCGGCUAACUACGUG